UACGUAGGGCGCAAGCGUUGUCCGGAAUUAUUGGGCGUAAAGAGCUCGUAGGCGGCCUGUUGCGUCCGCUGUGAAAUCCCGGGGCUCAACCCCGGGCCUGCAGUGGAUACGGGCUGGCUAGAGGCAGGCAGGGGAGAACGGAAUUCCUGGUGUAGCGGUGAAAUGCGCAGAUAUCAGGAGGAACACCGAUGGCGAAGGCAGGUCUCUGGGCCAUUACUGACACUGAGAAGCGAAAGCAUGGGGAGCGAACAGG
rnacentral:rRNA from 1 species